ACGGCUCAGUAACACGUAGUCAACCUACUCUAUGGACGGGGAUAACCUCGGGAAACUGAGAAUAAUACCAGAUAGAACAUUAUACCUGGAAUGGUUUAUGUUUCAAAUAAUUUAUUGCCGUAGGAUGGGACUGCGGCCUAUCAGUUUGUUGGUGAGGUAAUGGCCCACCAAGACUAUUACAGGUACGGGCUCUGAGAGGAGUAGCCCGGAGAUGGGUACUGAGACACGGACCCAGGCCCUAUGGGGCGCAGCAGGCGAGAAAACUUUGCAAUGUGCGAAAGCACGACAAGGUUAAUCCGAGUGGUUUCUGCUAAAGGAACCUUUUGUUAGUCAUAGAACCACUAUUGAAUAAGGGGUGGGCAAGUUCUGGUGUCAGCCGCCGCGGUAAAACCAGCACCUCAAGUGGUCAGGAUGAUUAUUGGGCCUAAAGCAUCCGUAGCCUGCUUUGUCAGUUUUCGGUUAAAUCCAUACGCUUAACGUAUGGGCUGCCGGGAAUACUACAAAGCUAGGGAGUGGGAGAGGUAGACGGUACUCGGUAGGAAGGGGUAAAAUCCUUUGAUCUAUUGAUGACCACCUGUGGCGAAGGCGGUCUACCAGAACACGUCCGACGGUGAGGGAUGAAAGCUGGGGGAGCAAACCGGAUUAGAUACCCGGGUAGUCCCAGCUGUAAACUAUGCAAACUCGGUGAUGCAUUGGCUUGAUGCCAAUGCAGUGCCGCAGGGAAGCCGUUAAGUUUGCCGCCUGGGAAGUACGUACGCAAGUAUGAAACUUAAAGGAAUUGGCGGGAGAGCACCACAAGGGGUGAAGCCUGCGGUUCAAUUGGAGUCAACGCCGGA
rnacentral:rRNA from 1 species